UGAGGUAAGACACGGGAAGGCCCUGGAGCCUAUGAACAACCAAACCCAGAGCCCCCAGGUCAAGCCCUAAUCCUGGGGUAUCACUAAUUAAGGGGCUGGGAGCUGUUUGUUCUUAUAAUUUUUUUUCUGUGCCUGGUGCUUUCAUUCUGUCCGUUGCCCCCAGGUCUGUAAGGCCCUCGAGUCUGUAACUGCCCUCAGAUGGGAGUUCUAACCGUUAUUUUGUGUCAGAACCCUGCUGUCUCUGCUACUUUCGCCCUGGUUGACUUCGAGACAUCAGAUCUCUAGGUGUCUCACCUACAGACCCCUCUGCCUCUCCCGUCUGAGGGAGACUUUUCUAAGACCUACAAUUUAUUGCCUGUCCCCUUGGUAUGACUUCAGCGCUAACGCUACAUGACCCCUCCUCACUCAAGACCCCUGUAACACUUAGAAGCUGGAUGAAGUGAUGAAAUGGGCAGAGGCAAUCCUUCAGACUGAAUGAGGAAGAAACAUAGAUGGUCUAUCUGGAUAAGAAAAAGAGGAACAAGAUUCUAGAGAAAUGGACAGCUGGCAUAAAGUUUCAUGCCACCUCUUCAGACAACAACAGAACUUAUUUUGGCUGGAGUUUAGGGGCUCCUUUCCUUGUGACCUGUCCUGUUCUGCUGCAGAACUGAGUUAGGCUUACUGCCCUACUGCUGUUCUGGCUGCAGAAUCCAGAAACACACCCAGCAGCAGCUCCUCACCAACACGCCCAAUCAUGGGUCCUCAGAAGCCUACCUUACUCACAGACCUCACAGAAUACAAUAUUUCAAGAGAACCAAAGAAAGAAAAGAUGGUCCCAAGAGUUCUGCUAUUGACCUCUGGCUAUAAAGGGUGUUGUGCCUGGGACCAAGAGACUGACGAUAAAGUGAUAAGAUUCUCCAAUGAAACUUUUUGUGACUAAAAUAAACUACUUAGAGUCUCUUAAGGUA